rnacentral:rRNA from 1 species
GAUGAACGCUGGCGGCGUGCCUAAUACAUGCAAGUCGAGCGAAUGGAUUAAGAGCUUGCUCUUAUGAAGUUAGCGGCGGACGGGUGAGUAACACGUGGGUAACCUGCCCAUAAGACUGGGAUAACUCCGGGAAGCCGGGGCUAAUACCGGAUAACAUUUUGAACCGCAUGGUUCGAAAUUGAAAGGCGGCUUCGGCUGUCACUUAUGGAUGGACCCGCGUGGCAUUAGCUAGUUGGUGAGGUAACGGCUCACCAAGGCAACGAUGCGUAGCCGACCUGAGAGGGUGAUCGGCCACACUGGGACUGAGACACGGCCCAGACUCCUACGGGAGGCAGCAGUAGGGAAUCUUCCGCAACGGACGAAAGUCUGACGGAGCAACGCCGCGUGAGUGAUGAAGGCUUUCGGGUCGUAAAACUCUGUUGUUAGGGAAGAACAAGUGCUAGUUGAAUAAGCUGGCACCUUGACGGUACCUAACCAGAAAGCCACGGCUAACUACGUGCCAGCCGCCGCAGUAA